UCCCCAGGGAACAGGCCUGCGCCCGCACCGGGGGACCCACGCCAGUGCGCAUCCCCAGGGAACAGGCCUGCGCCCGCACUGGGGGACCCACGCCGGCUCUCUCUCUCUCUCUCUCUCUCUCUCUCUCUCUCUCUCACACACACACACACACACACACACACACACACACACACACGGCGACACACGCGGGGCACACGCGGGCCCCGGGACGGUGGUUCGCUCCAGGCCGGUCCCGGCUGGAGGAGCGCCCCCCACCCUGCCCAACGCCGCCCUCGGGCCUUGCGACCCCCGCUUGGCUCGGUUGUGCGGGAGGCUGGGGAUGGGCCGCCGCCAGGGGAUGGCGAGGGGUCGGGGAUGGCGCUGGGCGCGCCGACCCGGGAGCCCCGGUCCCGACCCGCGCCGCAGGGGUGGCGGCGUCCGCCCGGCUCCGCGGUCUCCCGCGUCCUCACUCUGGCCUUCCCCUUCCCCGCAGCCCUUCCCUGGUAAACUCUUCACUUCGGAGAACUUUGUCCCCACGUCUUGGCUCCUUGUCCCUUCUUCCCUUCCUCCAGGCGCAGCCUGGCCACCGGAGCUCCGGCUGCGGGCUCCGAGGUGUCCGGAGAUGUGUUGGAUGCUAAGCUGA
rnacentral:lncRNA from 12 species